rnacentral:rRNA from 1 species
UGAGAAGGAACUCGGCAAAUUGACACCGUAACUUCGGAAGAAGGUGUGCCUUUAGUAGGUGAACCAUUUACUUGGGGAGCCCAAUGAGGCCGCAGAGAAUCGGUGGCUGCAACUGUUUAUUAAAAACACAGCACUCUGCAAAGACGAAAGUCGACGUAUAGGGUGUGACUCCUGCCCGGUGCUGGAAGAUUAAAUGAUGGGGUGCAAGCUCUUGACUGAAGUCCCAGUAAACGGCGGCCGUAACAAUAACGGUCCUAAGGUAGCGAAAUUCCUUGUCGGGUAAGUUCCGACCUGCACGAAUGGAGUAAUGAUGGCCACACUGUCUCCUCCAGAGACUCAGCGAAGUUGAAAUGUUUGUGAUGAUGCAAUCUCCCCGCGGAAAGACGGAAAGACCCCAUGAACCUUUACUGUAGCUUUACAUUGGACUUUGAACAGAUCUGUGUAGGAUAGGUGGGAGGCUUUGAAGAGUGGACGCUAGUUUGCUUGGAGCCAACGUUGAAAUACCACCCUGGUGUGUUUGAGGUUCUAACCUUGGUCCCUUAUCGGGAUUGGGGACAGUGUAUGGUGGGCAGUUUGACUGGGGCGGUCUCCUCCCAAAGUGUAACGGAGGAGUUCGAAGGUACGCUAAAUACGGUCGGAAAUCGUGUUGAUAGUGCAUUGGCAUAAGCGUGCUUGACUGCGAGACUGACAAGUCGAGCAGGUACGAAAGUAGGACAAAGUGAUCCGGUGGUUCUGUAUGGAAGGGCCAUCGCUCAACGGAUAAAAGGUACUCUGGGGAUAACAGGCUGAUACCGCCCAAGAGUUCAUAUCGACGGCGGUGUUUGGCACCUCGAUGUCGGCUCAUCUCAUCCUGGGGCUGUAGCCGGUCCCAAGGGUAUGGCUGUUCGCCAUUUAAAGAGGUACGUGAGCUGGGUUUAAAACGUCGUGAGACAGUUUGGUCCCUAUCUUCCGUGGGCGCUGCAAGAUUGAGAGAGCCUGCUCCUAGUACGAAAGGACCGGAGUGGACGCACCUCUGGUGUAUCGGUUGUCACGCCAGUGGCAUCGCCGAGUAGCUAAGUGCGGAAGAGAUAACCGCUGAAAGCAUCUAAGCGGGAAACUCGUCUCAAGAUGAGUCUUGCCGGGGCCUAGAGCCCCCUGAAGGGUCGUCCGAGACCAGGACGUUGAUAGGCUGGGUGUGGAAGCGCGGUAACGCGUUAAGCUAACCAGUACUAAUUGCCCGUGAGGCUUGACCCU